rnacentral:lncRNA from 1 species
CUGCAGUACUUUUUGUGUGGUGUGGAAGUGUUUGUUUUUUGCAAUAGAUUUUUGUUGCAGUUUAGGUUUGUAUUUUCUUUGUUUUGUAGUGCUUAUUAUGAAGGUUCGUAGGUUUAUGUCUGUAGGCCAGGCAGGUCAUUAAACUUAACAAAGAAUAAGUAAGUCGGGAGAGGGGAAUAGAAAUCUCCACAUACAUAUUCUUAAAAGCUGUAACACUCACCACAAAGAUCUGCUGAGUGAAGUCUGUGAGACGAACGCACCAAGUCUGGACGCUCUGUCAGGCUACAUUUUACGUUUUUGGGAGUGAGCAGGUGUUAUUCUGUUCCCCGGGUUGGUUUUGAAGUCAUGGCUCUCAAGUAAUUUUUGUGCUUCUCAAAAGUGCUGGAAUUGCAAAGAGUUCAAACAUUGAAUUAGUUGUGCAAUGGAAGGAGUAUUACCAGGACCCAGAUGCAGCCCAAGGAAAAAAGAAAACAAAAGGAGACACACACAGAAUUUCAGGCAGAAGCAAGCAGAUGGCGUAACAGGCCAGUCCAAG